rnacentral:lncRNA from 10 species
CCUGUGAGGUACUUGGAACUCUCCAUGCAUCUCCCAUAUUUUGUGCUUCCCCUCCUUCCUCCUCCUGACUCUAUCGUCUCUGGAUUGCUUCUGAUUAGGUGCCUCCCAUGCUCCUUCUGAACCCCGGGCCAGAUUUGUCACAGGACAAAAGAACACUCCAAAGUGUAAACUUUGGCUUUAUGUGAACCCCAGAGACUGUGAACAACGAAGAAUGUUCUCUCAAAUGGCAAGAGGACUAUCCAGAUUGCUGGGGGUGGUGCUGAUGUGAGCUGCGAGGAGGAGGCGCUGGGUGUGUGGGCAGAAAUGUGAAAUGUGUUAAGGCUUCUAUUAUGGGGUCAGCCCACCUAGUGUGGUCACCCUCCCCUCUGCCGAUUUCAAGAGCUGGAAACAGAGGGAAGUUAAGCCAUGACUAAGAAGCCUGGCGUCCUUUCAGUGGAGAAAGGUAGCCCUGUCGCUUCAGUGGGAUGAGGCCUGUUUCUUGCUGUUGGAGAAGAUUCCAGAACACAAAAGAAGGCAUGUCUCUAGUCCUGCAUGCAACAGCCUCCGUUCCUUCUUUGCCUCUCCAUCCCUCUAUCUCUCUUCAAACCUCAGAGGAUUCUACAGAUGUCUGGAGAUGCCCACGGGACUGCGGCCCAGCCUGGAGACUUAGGGAGCUCUCGGUCUUGGUGAGCAAUGCAUGUUGCCCCAGAGUCCCCUGGGGAGAAACAUCUCCCCACAGAAAAGCUGGGUUCUGAACCAUGGAGAUUGCUUGAGUCCAGGAGUUCCUAGUGUGAACAGGGGUCUCAUUGAGCAGUAGUGAAGUCAGAAGAGCUGAGAAUCUCUGCGAAGUAAGGACACAAGAAAAAGAGAAGACGAUGCAGGACACAGCAUCUGGGAGCAAAGAAGUCUGGAGAAGCCGGAGCCUAGAGUGCAAGUGAGGCAGUGGGAGGAGUCGCCAGUCUAUCUGGCUGAGGUCAGCAGAUGCGGGGCUCCCGAAGCCGGGCCCAGGGCUUUGGUUCCUAUCUUGUAGGCAGUGGGAGGUUAUUGAACCUUUUUAAGCAAGGAUGUAACAUCAUGUCAUAUCCAAAGAAAAGAUCAGUUUAAUGGUUGUAAAAGGAUUUCAUGGUUAUUAUAGAGAAUUGGAAAAAUAAAGAAAAAAAUGAGAAAAUAAAAAUCCUAGGGCCCAGAGUUAAACGUUAUUGUGUAACAAUACAAUAAUGAUAAACAUUAUCAAUAACAUUAUUGUAUUCUUAUUAUCUCUCUCCCCCAUCCCAUCGUAGUUAUUGUGUAAUGGGCGCUGAUUAUGUGCCUGGCUCCGUUACAAAGAUUUGCUUUGUUUAAUCCUCACAACACCGCUGUGCUGUAGGUCAAAUGCUGAUCCACGUUUUCAGAUGAGGAUAUGUUCAAACCCUGGGUCGCAUAGUUGGAAGCAGCAGCGUAGGGGUCUAGGCCCAGAUAAUCGGGCUCCAGCACCUGUAUUCCGAAUCCUUGGGCCACACUGCUGCUUGGGGAUCACACAGCAUAGAAUCAAUACACACGUGCAUCAGUAGAUGGCCAGUUUUGUUUAAGAUAGAGUUUGGCAUCCUAAUAUUCUGAACUGGGUUGUCAAAAGAGAAUUUUGGUAAUAGCAGGAAGGAGCUUGUGUUGGUGGGGAGUGGUUUACAGGGAGGAGGUAGGUGGGACAAGCGUGGUGGCCACGGCAAUGGUCCAGAGAAGAGAGGUCUAAAGGAAAAAUUCCAGUGGUCCAGAGGAGAGAGGGUAGAUGAGUAAGUGUAGAGAAUGAGAGUGUGGCUGCAGUGGCUCAUGCCUGUAAUUCGCACUUAGGGAGGCUGAAGUGGGAGGAUUGCUUGAGCCCAGGAGUUCGAGACCAGUCCGGAAAACAUAGUGAGACCUCAUCCCUCCAGAAAAUUUAAAAAUGAUCUAUUCAUGAUGCCUCCCACCUGUAGUCCCAGCUACUGGUGAGGCAGGUGGUGGGGUAGCUGAGGUUCCUGGGAGCUGAACCUGGGAGAUUCAGGCUGCAGUGAGCCGUGAUGGUGCCCCUGCAUUCCAGCCUGGGUGACAGAGUGAGACUCUUGUCUCUGAAAAACAAACAAACAAACAAAAAGGAAUGACAGUGAGAGGGGAUGGGGGCAUGGAAGUAGGAAUGACCUUGAUGAGUCUGUGUGUGAGCAAAUGCAUAGGCACCAUGAUGCAUCUGCACAUACACGUGUCUGUGUGUGUCCAGGAGGGAUUGAGGGAAAGAAAAGAAUCAGGAAAAUCAUGGGGAUUCUGUACUGAGCACCUGAGCACUUAUAGGAGGGAGAAAUGUUCAGGACAGGAGGAAGGUGAGGAGUUUACUUUGGGACCUUAUAAGAGUGUGUGCUGUCUGUCAAGUGGGGGUGUGCACUGGGCAGGUAGACACACGCAGGCAGAAAAACAGAAUGGAGUCAGCUGCACUGGUUUGUUCUAAA